CCUACUCCAGGGCCCAGGUUGAGGUCUCAGAUGUGAAACCCUAGAGUGAAAUGUCCUACAGGAGCUAGAUACCCCUGGGCCUGAGGCUGGGGCUACACUUUGCAGCUCUGUUUGGCAUCAUGGUACAACUGCCCUGUCUGGCUGUCAGGACUGCAAGGAAAGCUGGUUUUGGAGGAGGCUCCAGAGAGGGUCACACUGUUUUGGAGAGAUGCAGCAUAGUCUAUGGUCACUAUAAGGGAGUGAAGUAAUAAGUUGUCUUGGAGUCGCUGGUGACUGCACAGGUCAAGAACCUGCUUGCAGAUGAAAGAAGCCAGAAAGCUCUUGACCAAAGGCUGGAGUGAUGUCCUCAAUAUUUGUGAAUCUCUUCCAUUCGCUAGUACCUUUCAUUCUCUGUACGAAAAUGGCAAGGCUUCUUUCAAAAGUCAUACAGCGCCCAGCAAAGUCCAACCUCCUAAUGAAAGGCUUCAUUAACAAUCGUGUCUUCCAGCCAGAACUGGUCGCAUUUCAGUGAAGCAUGAAGUCAUCCCAAAGUUAAGAUAUUCAAAGGCGACCAAUUUCUUGGGUGCCCAGUUUGGAACAGCUUUAAGGGACUUUUGAUACGAGCACAGUGAACACCCAGCAAUGGACACCUCUCCCCACUUCUGCAAAUCCUGGCAUUUGCAAAUCCAGUAACAAUAUUUUUUUUUACAAAAAUGCUUCCGUGUGCAUCAAUUGCAGACAUUUGGCUAUUGGAGGAGAUGUCCAGGUGUAUCCAUGGCAGUUAGAUACUCAACUCUCAUUGAAAGUCAAAGCAAAUUAGGAACCUAGCUAUCAGUCAUGCCUGUGGAAAACUAUCCCCAUUAUUAUCAUCUGGAUUAAUACGACUAACACAGAGCUCCCCACCCUGAGUUCUCAAGUCUCCUUUCAUGAAGUAUUUAGCAUAGCAUGAGCUCUUGAAUCACAACCCGACAGUGAAGAGGAACCAGAUUACAUAUAUGCUCCUUUGGUAUACAUGAAUCAAUAAAACACUGAUAAAUAGAAACCACACUGGAAUGAGUCCAUUUUACUACUCCUGACAAUGGUAAAGAUUUAGCUGAGCAAUAAUUUGACUUGGAGCUGCCUUACUGGGCUUGCUUUGCUUAGCAUACAUCAAGAAAAUGAUGAAGACCUAGAGCAAGUCUUGACAGAUUUUGACCUAUUCAUUGAGUGAUGAACUCCUAUUACUGUAUCAGAGUCAGCAACAUAUAUUACCUAUAGUUUGUGUAAUCACUCGUACGCUAUUCCUCUUUUACAAGAUAGUUUAAUGUUGUGCAGUUUGAUAGAUGAAGUAUUUUAUGCACAGCUACACAAAAUAAAAGUUAUUUACUUUAAUUAAAAGAAAGAGAUGGCAAAAUAAAAUUUAAGGCCAGAUCCUGAUAUUCUUAUUCAUGUUGAGAAGUCGCAGAUUCUAUGACACCUCCCACAAAAAUCAAUAAAAUGCCUCAUGAUAUGAACACUUUUCUUGGGCAGGAAGACUGGGGAGAUAUAACCUAGCCAUUGGUUGCCUCAUGUGUUUGCAGUACUUGUAGGGACAGUUGGAGAGAAGGAAAAUUUCUGGAUGGCUCAUUCACUACUAAAAUAGUAUAUCUGCUCAGAAGCAGGGAAAAAAAACAGAGAGCAAUAUCAAGGCAGCAGGCC